AAAAUCUGGCGCCCUGUGGAGAUCUUUAGACUGGUCAGCAAAUAUCAAAACGAGAUCUCAGACAGGAGAAUCUGUGCCUCUGCAUCAGCAGCCGACCUUGCCUACCAGCUCCUGGGUGUCCUGGAGUCUUUGAGAAGCAACGAUUUGAACUAUUUCUUCUACUUCACCCACAUUGAUGCAGGCAUGUUCGGCGUCUUUAACAACGGGCAUCUGUUCAUCCGGGAUGCCAGUGCAGUGGGCGUCAUCGACAAGCAGGAAGGCAGCCAAGAAGCCAACAGGGCAGGAGAGAAUAAAGACAUUUUUAGCUGCCUGGUUUCCAGCUGCCAGGCCCAGCUGCCCUCCUGCGAAAGCAUCUCUGAGAAGCAGAGCCUGGUGCUGGUGUGUCAGAAGUUGCUGCCUCGACUUCUCCAGGGGAGGUUCCCCUCCCCAGUGCAAGACCACAUAGACUCCAUCCUUGUUCAGUGUGGGGACAGCAUCCGCCCAGACCCAGAAGUCCUUGGGGCCGCCAGCCAGCUGAAAGACAUCUUGAGGCCCCUGAGAACGUGUGACUCCAGAUUUGCCUAUCGUUACCCAGAUUGCAAAUAUAACGAUAAGUUCUGAAGGGCUGGUGUCUAGCUGGCCUUGGGGACAACAUGCUUGGCUCUCCAUUCUCCCAGUCGGGUUGCUGCAAGGUAGAAAGAAGCAGCUCUUUUUUAAAGAUGAGAAGAAAGGCACACUCAUUUCUUAGGGACUGAGAGGGGAGUUGUGAGAUACCACGUGGCUGUCUCUGCUGGCUGGGACGUCCUGGCAAAGCCCGCGGUGGGCAUCAGAAGACCUGGGUGUGCACGCUCACUCAAUGUCUUUGAGCCUCAGUUUCCUCUAUUCUCCACCAGACUCUCCUGAGGGUGAAAGAAGACACAGAUGGAGCCACCAUUGAGCGUAUAUCCCAAGCAUGGGUCUUGGGGACACAUGCUCACCACCUCCAUCCCAGGUGGUUACAAAGUGUGUUCUGGAAAAGCACAGAGGCGGGGAGCAUGAGAAAGAGCCACUCAGGUCAGGAGGCUGGAGUGGAGGGAAGGCAGGGGAAGGACAGGCUCCCUGCCACUACCACUUUAGACUCGGACAAGAGGGGCCCCCUUCCUGCUCCCUAUGGCCCUGCGUCACUCCCCACACCAUCGCGGGAUGAGGAGACUGCAGGCCAAGGGGACAUGCCUACCACCACCUAGAGCCUGGUACCUGAGGCUCCAUACACCUGCGCAUGGGGCUUCUCAUGGUGUGGGAAGAAGCCAGGGGUAAGAAGAUAAAGGGGGGCCGGUGGGGGACCAAUGUGUUAGCCCAAGUCCUCCAAGAAUAUGUGUCAAGAUAGAGUGAAUGGAACAACGAUUUGUUAGGGGAAAUGCUUGUGUGUAAGGAAAGAAGGAGGGAGCCGGAGAAGAUUGGGAGGACCAGUAAGUCGAGCUGCAAGCUGAGCCCCGGUGAAGGAGAGAAUGUCUGGCAGGAGCUUGCUAAGCUCAAAAUUAAAGAAAGGUUCAGCAAGGCUGUCAGGGUGUCCUCAAGGCAAAGGCAGCCAUCAGAAGAGCCCCGUGUCUCCCACAAAUAGACCCCGUUAGCAUCCCUGCUGCACUCAGUGGUUGGCGGAAACAGCAAAGAUAGAUUUCAGAGCACAGCAGCAGGGGUCCCUGGUCAGCCCCGCUCCCUAGAGCAGGAGAUCUUGAGUGGGAGAACAUUCUUGUAGCCACAGCUGAGGCCCUGGACCAGCUCUCUCCACACCGCGUGCUCCGAGUUGGGACUCUAAGGAGUCUAGGAAUUUUCAUUCAAACUUGGCCUUACAGGUCACUCAUCAGAAAAAUACUUUUUUCAAGGUCAACCAAUAGAACAUACUUUAUUCAACAGUUUGUUAGUUUGCUUUUUAAAUAUUUAGCCACAUGGUAUGUAGGCUUCCAUGUACACUCUUGCCCUGGCCCCUGAAACAUAAGCAGGGGGCUCUUCUGUACAUUUGCCCAGCUUCCCUGCCAGCCUUUAACCCCAGGAACCUCUCAGUCUACCUCCUCUUUUCUACCUCUGAAUCCCUACCUUUAAAGUCAGAACAGGCCAGGCCCGGUGGCUCACGCCUGUAAUCCCAGCACUUUGGGAGGCUAAGGUGGGUGGAUCACUUGACAUCAGUAGUUCAAGACCAGCCUGGCCAACAUGGUGAAACCCCAUCCUUACUAAAAAUACAAAAAUUAGCCAGGUGUGGUGGCGGGCACCUGUAAUCCCAGCUACUCGGGAGGCUGAGGCAGGAGAAUCACUUGAACCCAGGAGGCAGAGUUUGCAGUCAGCCAAGAUCACGCCACUGUACUCCAGCCUGGAUGACACAGCAAGACUCCAUCUC
rnacentral:sRNA from 1 species